UACGGAGGGGGCUAGCGUUGUUCGGAAUUACUGGGCGUAAAGCGCACGUAGGCGGCUUUGUAAGUUAGAGGUGAAAGCCCGGGGCUCAACCCCGGAAUUGCCUUUAAGACUGCAUCGCUAGAAUUGUGGAGAGGUAAGUGGAAUUCCGAGUGUAGAGGUGAAAUUCGUAGAUAUUCGGAAGAACACCAGUGGCGAAGGCGACUUACUGGACACAUAUUGACGCUGAGGUGCGAAAGCGUGGG
rnacentral:rRNA from 1 species